AGUGAACGCUGGCGGUAGGCCUAACACAUGCAAGUCGAACGGCAGCACAGGAGAGCUUGCUCUCUGGGUGGCGAGUGGCGGACGGGUGAGGAAUACAUCGGAAUCUACUCUGUCGUGGGGGAUAACGUAGGGAAACUUACGCUAAUACCGCAUACGACCUACGGGUGAAAGCAGGGGAUCUUCGGACCUUGCGCGAUUGAAUGAGCCGAUGUCGGAUUAGCGAGUUGGGGGGGUAAAGGCCAACCAAGGCGACGAUCCGUAGCUGGUCUGAGAGGAUGAUCAGCCACACUGGAACUGAGACACGGUCCAGACUCCUACGGGAGGCAGCAGUGGGGAAUAUUGGACAAUGGGCGCAAGCCUGAUCCAGCCAUACCGCGUGGGUGAAGAAGGCCUUCGGGUUGUAAAGCCCUUUUGUUGGGAAAGAAAUCCAGCUGGCUAAUACCCGGUUGGGAUGACGGUACCCAAAGAAUAAGCACCGGCUAACUUCGUGCCAGCCGCCGCCGUAA
rnacentral:rRNA from 1 species